AGGAUGAACGCUGGCGGCGUGCCUAACACAUGCAAGUCGAACGUCCUGUCUCGCAAGAGGCAGGGAGUGGCGGACGGGUGAGUACCACGUGGGUCAUCUACCGUGAGGUGAGGAAUACCGGCGAGAAAUCGCCGACAAGACCGCAUAGGCUCGAUGCAAGUCGAGCAAAGCUCUUUCGAGAGAGGGAGCGCCACACGAGGAGCCUGCGCCCGAUUAGCUAGCUGGUGGAGUAACGGUUCACCAGGGCGACGAUCGGUAGCUGGUCUGAGAGGACGAUCAGCCACACUGGGAUUGAGAACGGCCCAGACUCCUACGGGGGGCAGCAGUGAGGAAUUUCGUCAAUGGGGGCAACCCUGAACGAGCAACGCCGCGUGCAGGAGAAGGUUUUCGGAUCGUAAACUGCUUUUCUCGGGAAGAGAACGGACGGUACCCGAGGAAUCAGCCCCGGCUAACGUACGUGCCAGCAGCCGCGGU
rnacentral:rRNA from 1 species